rnacentral:rRNA from 1 species
CUACGGGUUGCUGCAGUAGGGAAUCUUAGACAAUGGGGGAAACCCUGAUCUAGCCAUGCCGCGUGAGUGAUGAAGGCCUUAGGGUUGUAAAGCUCUUUCGCUGGGGAAGAUAAUGACGGUACCCAGUAAAGAAACCCCGGCUAACUCCGUGCCAGCAGCCGCGGUAAUACGGAGGGGGUUAGCGUUGUUCGGAAUUACUGGGCGUAAAGCGCGCGUAGGCGGGCUAUUAAGUCAGGGGUGAAAUCCCGGGGCUCAACCCCGGAACUGCCUUUGAUACUGGUAGUCUUGAGUUCGAGAGAGGUGAGUGGAAUUCCGGGUGUAGAGGUGAAAUUCGUAGAUAUUCGGAGGAACAUCAGUGGCGAAGGCGACUCACUGGCUCGAUACUGACGCUGAGGUGCGAAAGUGUGGGGAGCAAACAGGAUUAGAUACCCUGGUAGUC